AAAUCGGCAAUUGCUUAUAUACUCCUGAAAAGUUUUCGACUUUCUGAUUUACCUCUCUUAGAAGGCUAAUAUUGAAAAUACCUUUUUUACGUUCCAACCUAUUUCUAAUAUACCCCUAUAGUUAAAAUAUGUUAAUGAACUAUAUUAUCUCCAUAAAAUUACUAUUUUGCCCUUUCAAAUAUACCUUUCUACCAUUACUGACUUUUCUUAUUUGCCCUUAAGUUAGGGGUACAAAAAGUAUUUUAUUUUUUGGUCUUUACAAACAUAUCUUUCUACCAUCACCAAAAUUUCUUAUUUGCCCUUAAGUUAAGGGCAAAAGUGAUAUUUUAUUUUUUUUUUUAACUGUGGUGGAUUUUAACUCACAUUUAACCCAAGUUAACUUAACGGAAGGUAACUAUAGCGGUAUUUUGGAAUAACGAAGGAACAUAUGAGUGAUAUAUUGGAAGAAAAAAAAAAGCAGGAAUAAAUGAGAUAUUUUCGAAGUUUUAAGGGGUAUAUAGGUAAUUAU
rnacentral:lncRNA from 1 species